UGGCACACACCUUAAUAUUAGCCAAGAAUUGAGGAAUUGUGUGCUAAUUGAAAACAUAGCAUUCAAGAAGAGAAUGUAAGCAAAUGAAACAACGAUGUGGACGAGGGCAAGUGGAACAAAUUUGGACAAUUUUUUAAGGUCUAGCAUCAUGAAUUUGCUGAAGCAGAGUUUCAGGGGUACAAGAAUACCUAAGCAAAAUGUCCAUUGAUGAAGGCCUAGGAUGCAGCUGAAAGCUCUAAAAGAAAUCUACAGUGUAGUUGCUCUAAAGCAGACACAACUGCAGUGUCAGAUGCAGUCCUAAUUGAAAAGUUAAUUAACUUUUGGAAGUCAUCAGCUGUCAUUCCUGCGAAUCAGACUCCAGUCAGGCCCCUGGGACCAACUGCAUAUCAGUCUUAAUGGCUGGGGACCCACUGCUUGGCUACGUGGGAACAUUUGGUCAUGGAAAGUACCAUUUAUAGAGUAUUGUUUAAUUAAAGUCAAAUUAAGAGAACUGUAUGCAGAAUUUAAUUUCUGGUAUGAAUUAUUGUAGAAAACAGAGUGCAACUCAGAUAAUCAAACUUUUCAUUAUCUUCUCCUCCCUCCUGAGGUGCCGCUGCUGACUCCCAACACAUAAAUGAGAGGAAGCUACCCACAAUGUAUUGCAGAUCUACAAGUCUUCUCUCAUACAUCAACUUCCUUCUGUCAAACAUUUUUGUUUUUAACCAACAAAAGCUUCAAUUCCAUUUCUCAAAAGUUUUGCUAUUUGUGUGAUAGUUAAAAUUCCACAUAUAUUAUAAGGGCCACCAUGAAAAUGGUGUGUCAGAAACAGUUUGUUAACCAGUGAU